CGUGGUUUGUGUCUGAACUACCUGAAAAAGAUAUCUCAAACGUGGUGGUCCAGUGUAGGUAGUAUUCUACAAUAAGCUGCCGUUGUUUGUGUCUGAACUACCUGAAAAAGAUAUCUCAAACGUGGGGGUCAAAUGUACGUAGUAUUCUAUACAAUAAGUUGUCGUGGUUUGUGUCUGAACGACCUGACAUCUGAAACGUGGGUGUAUUCAGUACUCUACAGUGAGCCACGUUUUACGUCAAAGCAAUCAAUGUCCAGAAAAUCUUGACGUAAGAAACCAAGUGGUGAAUUUAAAUGAUAAUAUCAUUGGCAUGCCUGCUGGCUGCCGCAUCACAGGUAUAUAAUAGACUAAAUCAAACGAUCAAACAAUCAAUCACUAUCGUGAAAUCUUAGCUCUCUAAUCCGAAAUGUAAUGCAAUGUUUUUAAUUCAAAGUAUUUCAAGGCACUUUAGUCAUUCAUUUAUUUUCAUUGGAGUAUUCUAGCCUUUAAUCGCCAAAUGCUGACGCACAGUUUGUUUGCUAAAGCAUUUGUUGCUAUUAUAUGUAUAUUUCAUGUACGACUGGCAUAUGGCCAGGGUAUUACGUUUUCCCCUUUGACUUUUGACCUUUAUUUGGCAGCGUGUAAGUCACUGAUAGCUACAAUUUUUUUUUUUACAAUGAUUCUGUUUUUCAUGUCUUUGCCAAAAUUGUAUGUUUCUACGUUUUAUACCGUUAAAUUUUCAAUUUGUUUAGGUUCGUUGCGCCAAUUUUGUAUUUCGCGCAGAAAAUUCGUGGCUUAUGGUAAAUUUGUUACUUUGCAGUCAAUGAAUAUAUUACGCUACGGUGAAGCUAUAAAAGCUAUCGCAAUGAAAUAAAGAUCAUUGCAUUCAGAAAGGACUAACUUAGAUUUUGAUAUAUGGCGUUUGAAUUUACGUGCAAUAUUAAUAGACUGCGCUAUUGAUGUUUGAACGUUGAACUACUGUUUUUGAAAAUGCC